rnacentral:rRNA from 1 species
GUUUACCAAAAACAUGGCUUCUUGUAAUAAACAAAAUAGGGAGUCGGACCUGCCCGGUGAAAUUUUUAACGGCCGCGGUACUCUGACCGUGCAAAGGUAGCAUAAUCAUUUGCCUUAUAAUUGAAGGCUAGUAUGAAUGGUUUGACAAGAAUAUAACUGUCUCUUUAUAAUUUUAUAGAACUUUAUUUUAAGGUGAAGAAGCCUUAAUUAAAUUAAAAGACAAGAAGACCCUAUCGAGCUUUAGAGAAAUUUAUAGAGAUUAGUUAAUAGUAGUUUAAAAGAUUAGCUAUUGAAUACUUUGGUUGGGGCGACUGAGGAACAAAUAAAGCUUCCUUUAAUAAUAAUAGACAUACAAGUAUUGAUCCAAAAUUUUUGAUUAAAGAAAUUAGUUACCGUAGGGAUAACAGCAUUAUCUUUUUUGAGAGCUCUUAUCGAAAAAAAGGUUUGUGACCUCGAUGUUGGACCAGAAUAUCCUAAAGAUGCAGAAGUCUUUAAGGGUUGGUCUGUUCAGACCAUUAAAAUUCUACGUGAUCUGAGUUCAGACCGG